rnacentral:rRNA from 1 species
GUGAGGAAUAUUGCGCAAUGGAGGCAACUCUGACGCAGCCAUGCCGCGUGCAGGAAGAAGGCGCUACGCGUUGUAAACUGCUUUUAACCGGGAAGAAACCCCAGGACGUGUCCUGGGUUGACGGUACCGGAGGAAUAAGCACCGGCUAACUUCGUGCCAGCAGCCGCGGUAAUACGAAGGGUGCAAGCGUUAUCCGGAUUCAUUGGGUUUAAAGGGUGCGUAGGCGGAGCGUUAAGUCAGUGGUGAAAUCCUGCAGCUUAACUGUAGACUUGCCAUUGAUACUGGCGCUCUUGAGUGCGCUUGAAGUGGGCGGAAUGUGCCGUGUAGCGGUGAAAUGCUUAGAUAUGGCACAGAACACCAAUUGCGAAGGCAGCUCACUAAGGCGAUACUGACGCUGAGGCACGAAAGCGUGGGGAUCGAACAGGAUUAGGAACCCCUGUAGUCC